rnacentral:lncRNA from 1 species
UCAACAUCUGAACCAAAAAGCUGCAUUUACUACAGUACUUACUUAAGGGAGGUGGAGCUGGGCCUGUUAGGUGCAAUCCCUACACCAGCUGAGCCGGGAGAUCUGAACAUCAGGCAAUGAGUUUGCAAGAUGGUUUAACAACUAUGAACAUGUGGUGUCCUCACAGGAAUCCUGUGGGCUGAACAGCAGCCGCCCCUCCUUCCACCCAGCACAAAACUUGGUUUGCCCCGCUCACUCUAAAUCUGGGCCUUCAAUGAAUGUUCAGUGGAGUUCUUCUGUGGAAAAAAAUAAAUGGGAAAGGAAGGCUGGAGAGGCCUUUAUUAGCCUAAGGGGCAGUGGAGGGUAAAAGGGCUGUGACUCUUGGUUGGCUUCUUCUUUUUCUUUAUUGUUUUUUGUUUUGUUUUGUUUUGUUUUUUCUGGUAGCUUCUUUAUCUCAGUGUUUUUUCUUUUUCUUUUCUUUUUUUUUUGAGACAGGGUCUCACUCUGUCACCCAAACUGGAGUGCAGCAGUGCAAUCAUAACUUAGCGGGGCUCAAGCAAUCCUCCCACCUCAGCCUCCCUAGUGGCUGGGACUACAGGUGUGCACCACCACACCCGGCUAAUUUUUGUAUCUUAUUGUAGACACAGGUUUUCGCCACGUUGCCCAGGCUGGUCUCAAACUCCUGGGCUCAACUGAUCCCCUUGCCAGGGCUUCUCAAAGUGCUGGGAUCAUAGGCAUGAGCCGCCAUGCCUAACCCUUAUCUGAGUUUUUGUAACAGUUUGACCAACAAGCUUGUUGUUGGAAAGCUGUAAGAGUCCUGGAAAUUUCCCUGGGGCCUGAGGAAUCAAACACUGCUCUACAAGGGGAGGCUUUCUGUCCUGAGAGUUCAGGCUUUAGGGGCUGGCUGGAGGCCUCAGGCAGAGAUGAAGGCCCAGUUAUGAUUUCCUUCACUGGAGUCCAUCAUUAAUGAGCGCCUUGGCUGGGGGGAUGCCUGCUAAGAGGGCAUGGAGUACAGAUCCUCCACUGACACCCCCACACUCCUAGCAGCAAGCAGGACUUAGUGGCCCCACUUACUCCCUACAGGGUAGGAAAAGACGGCAGUGCCCUGGUGAGGAGCUGUAUAGGGGGUCCUUCAGGAUGCUUGCUGGGAGGGGUGGGGAGGGCACAGGACGUGCUGGGACCCCACUGGGAUCUAAGCCCCUCCCAGCUGAUUUAUUCUUAGGAUCUGUAAUGCUCGCCUGCAUGUGCCCCGAACUUCAGAAGGCCCAAGAAUCAACCCUGACAAAUGUCUUUUUGUCCUGUAUUCAGUAGAGAUAAGAUUAAAAAAAAAAAUUAGUAGAGGGCAAAAAACAGUGGUUUACUCUCUUUACUGGCAUUCAAGAAACUUCUUCGGUUUGAUAGGCUUUAAGCUUCUUCCCAGAUUCAAAAUGCUGUGAUUGGCACUAAAUGGAUCCCUAUCUCUGCCCAGGAAUUCCGGCUUCUGGCUGCAAAGCCUUUGGGGUCCUUGCAAUGGGGCAGGUAUAACUUCCCAUAUUCUCUUCCUCAAUCUUCCUUUCCUGCCCCUCCCUCUCUAUUUUUUUUUUUUUUUUUUUUUUUUUGAGACAAGGUCUCACACCGUAACCCAGGCUGAAGAGCAGUGGUGCAAUCAUGGCUCACUGCAGACUCAACCUCCUAGGCUCAAGCAAUCCUCCCACCUCAGCCUCCCGAGUAGCUGGGACCACAGGCACAUGCCACUACGUCCAGCUCAUUUUUGUAUUUGUUGCAGUGAUGGGGAUUUGCCAUGUUGCCCAGGCUGGCCUUGAACUUCUGGGCUCAAGCCAUCCUCUCACUUCAGCCUCUCAAAGUGCUGGGAUUGUAGGCUUGAGCCACUGUGCCCUGCCUGCCUUUCUGUUCUGAUGCAGGAAGCCCUGACUUUGGAGUCCUUCCCUGUGGAUCACCUCUGAUAAAUCUAGUCUCUUGUUCAUCUGCUCUUUUAUUUAUUAAAAAAACUUUUUAAAAAGACUAGUAAAGUGCAGUAGUGAGAAGGUGGGAAAGGGUAGAACAAGGAGCUCGAUCUGUAACUGACUGUGAACAAUCAGUUGAGAUAACUCACUACCUUUGGACCAGCCUCAUCUGCCCUUUUGAAUGGUUCCUCUCAGUUUUUUCAUCUGUAAAAUGUGAAUCGUGCGUGGCAGGAGGUGAGUGGGGAUUUGUAGUGGAGAAUUCUCAAGGUCUCUCCCAGCUCUGACACUUGGGGACUCAGGGAGUCUACCAAGGGCAAAGGCAUCAUCCUAAGUGCAGGUUCGUGUGUGGGGGUGUAUGAAACAGUUAAGAUGAAGUGCCCAUCCUCAAGGAGUUUGCAGUUGAGUAGCUCAGUGGCAUGCAUAAUAAAUCUCAGGUAGGCCCGGUGUGGUGGCUCAUGCCUGAAAUCCCAGCACUUUGGGAGGCUGAGGUGGGUGGAUCACGAGGUCAGGAGUUUGAGACCGGCCUGACCAACAUGGUGAAACCCUGUUGCUACUAAAAAUACAGAAAUUAGCUGGGCGUGGUGUGGGCGCCU